rnacentral:rRNA from 1 species
GACGAACGCUGGCGGCGUGCCUAACACAUGCAAGUCGAACGGAGAUAUGAUUUCGGUUAUAUCUUAGUGGCGAACGGGUGAGUAACGCGUGAGCAACCUGACCUUCAGAGGGGGAUAACACUUGGAAACAGGUGCUAAUACCGCAUAAGACCACGACCCGACAUCGGGAUGCGGUCAAAGGAGCAAUCCGCUGAGGGAGGGGCUCGCGUCCCAUUAGAUAGAUGGCGGGGUAACGGCCCACCAUGUCGACGAUGGGUAGCCGAGCUGAGAGGCUGAUCGGCCACACUGGAACUGAGACACGGUCCAGACUCCUACGGGAGGCAGCAGUGGGGAAUAUUGGGCAAUGGGCGCAAGCCUGACCCAGCAACGCCGCGUGAGGGAAGAAGGCCUUCGGGUUGUAAACCUACUGUCCUUGGUGACGAAACAGAUGACGGUAGCCAAGGAGGAAGCCCCGGCUAACUACGUGCCAGCAGCCGCGGUAAU